AAUAGAUACCCUGGUAGUCCACGCCCUAAACGAUGCUCACUAGGUGUUGGGGAAGCGAUUCCUUGGUACCGUAGCUAACGCGUGAAGUGAGCCGCCUGGGGAGUACGGCCGCAAGGUUAAAACUCAAAGGAAUUGACGGGGACCCGCACAAGCGGUGGAUGAUGUGGAUUAAUUCGAUGCAACGCGAACAACCUUACCUACCCUUGACAUGUCCGGAAGCCUGCUGAAAGGUGGGGGUGCUCGAAAGAGAACCGGAACACAGGUGCUGCAUGGCUGUCGUCAGCUCGUGUCGUGAGAUGUUGGGUUAAGUCCCGCAACGAGCGCAACCCUUGUCCCUAGUUGCUACGCAAGGGCACUCUAGGGAGACUGCCGGUGACAAACCGGAGGAAGGUGGGGAUGACGUCAAGUCCUCAUGGCCCUUAUGGGUAGGGCUUCACACGUCAUACAAUGGACGGUACAGAGGGUUGCCAACCCGGCGAGGGGGGAGCCAAUCCCAGAAAGCCGUUCGUAGUCCGGAUCGCAGUCUGCAACUCGACUGCGUGAAGUCGG
rnacentral:rRNA from 1 species